rnacentral:lncRNA from 1 species
GCUUAGAGGAAAUAAAAGAAAUAUCCCAGGAGCAAAAACAAAACACACACAUGCACGCUCUCAAGAGUCACUGGCAUCCCAGCUGAAAAGUCAGCUCUACACCUAUGGGACCUAUGGGCCUGUUUCUGAGCUCUGUUUUGUCUCUUUGAUCUGAGUGUCUAUCUGAGGCCAAUACUGCAGUACCAAAUGCGGUUGCUUUAGAGGAAGUCUUGAAAUCAGAUGAGGGAGCAUAACUUUCGCAUCUCAGUCUUUCUCCAUUUCCUGAGGCUUCUUCAGGCUCUGGUGUGUGGUCCACCCUGGAGAAUGGCUCACUCUCCUCUCGAGAGGAACGUGGCUGCGGCUGUGCGUGGACCGUUUGGCAGAGGCUCAUCUGCUGGAUCCACUGGUUGGUUCACGGGGUUCGUUCCUGUCUGUUGAUCUUCUACCUAGUGGCUCCAUCACUCAUUCAAGCCACCCGCUGUCCCUUUUGAUUAUUGUUUACACGGUUCGUCUCUUUCCACCUUUCCCCGUUGGACUCUG